CCUACGGGAGGCAGCAGUGGGGGAUAUUGGACAAUGGGGGGAACCCUGAUCCAGCGACGCCGCGUGAGUGAAGAAGUAUUUCGGUAUGUAAAGCUCUGUCAGCAGGGAAGAAAGAAAUGACGGUACCUGACCAAGAAGCCCCGGCUAACUACGUGCCAGCAGCCGCGGUAAUACGUAGGGGGCAAGCGUUAUCCGGAAUUACUGGGUGUAAAGGGAGCGUAGACGGUUAAGUAAGUCUGAAGUGAAAGGCCGGGGCGCAACCCCGGGACUGCUCUGGAAACUAUUGAACUUGAGUGCAGGAGAGGUAAGCGGAAUUCCUAGUGUAGCGGUGAAAUGCGUAGAUAUUAGGAGGAACACCAGUGGCGAAGGCGGCUUGCUGGACUGUAACUGACGUUGAGGCUCGAAAGCGUGGGGAGCAAACAGGAUUAGAUACCCUUGUAGUC
rnacentral:rRNA from 1 species